ACUCUUUUAGUAUAAGAAAUAUAACUGACUUCCAAUCAGUAGCUUCUGAUAAAAUCAGAAAAGAGUA
rnacentral:tRNA from 1 species